UGACCAAUCCAGAGGCGCUCACGGCUUUUCCCUCAGCCCCAACCUCCCUGUAUCUCCCGGAGACCAUGAGCUCAGCGGGAACAGUGCCUGGGCCUGUCUUGUUCACCACUGUGUCUCCAGUGUCUGGCGCUGUGCUCCACCCCUCCACUCGCUAGUUCAUAGGCUCCAUCAUGGUUUGAUGGAAGGAUGAAUGAAUGAACGAUCCGGCAGAGGGAAGAGCCUGAUCCCACCAGGGAGGUGUGCAAUCAAAAGCUGUGUGCGGUGAUACCAAGUGUUCCCGUGAAGUAGAUUGAGGAGUGUGCGGAGAGUAAUUGGGAGAAGUGAAGUUAGAAUAUUCUCUUCCCUCUAAUAAGCAUCUGAGGACAUCUGUGCCAGGCCCCGUGCUGACAAAGAGCCCACAGACGAACUAAGUGGGGCCCUGUUAGUCCUGUGAGGGUUCUCAGCACCUAAGUCUGAUGAGAGCCCCUCCGCCCCCACCAAUCCCCAGGGGCUCCUACACAGCCUAUUCUGCAUGUACCUGGAAGCGGAUCACAGCCUCCGGAACCCCAGUCAAGAACCACAGCUUAAGUAUCCCUACUCUAGGUGGAACGAGAAAAAUCAAAUGAGUGCUUGGAGCGCGAGCCACGCCAAGACAGCAGUGAGGACGGAACCCAGCGCUUCGGAGACGGUUGCGGGGACAAGGCCUUAGGGCCAGGGAAGGAACAGCGAUGGAAGGCCCUUGGACCCAUUUUAAGAAACUUAUCCUAUGAUCCAGAAACUGGGAUCCGGGAAAACUCCCCGCGCCCAGAAGGGUCCUAAUCUCCGGCUCGGAAAGAUGACGCAAGCAGCGCGCGAGUACGUGCCAAAAUACGACUACCCCGUCCCCGCUGGUGCAUUGUGGGGGGUUAAAGGCACCAACCGAAUACCGGUCUCGCGAGCGAGCGAGAUUCACGCGGAUGACAGAGAUUGGGUGGGGAGGAAAGGCGAGGCUUCUACUCUCCGAACAAGAGUCCCGCCCCCCGGCUGGGAUGGGCCAAUCCCAAGGCCUCCCGCUCCUGGCCCUGCGGAUUGGUCCGAGGGCUCACAUGGUUAAGGGGGCCAUGGGGCACUGGACCGAGCCGAGUCUCGGGCACUUGAUCGAGGCGGCGACGGUGUCUUUGUACAGUGGUGAAGGGCCGGAGAGCCCUAGAGUCAGAAGCUCGCGGGCUACCGGCCGGUCUCGGCCUCCGCACGCGGCCAUGGGCAAGUCGAGUUCGAACACUUGCUGAAUAAAGAACCCGCCUUAAAGCGGUGCGGGGUCAGUGUCGUAGAUGGGGAGACUUUGCCGAGGCCGCACAGCCUGGAGUGAAGGAGCCAGGGUUGGACCCAGGCAUCAACCUGCUCAACCCGCAGGCCUUCCAGCAGUGGCUCCUGCACCCCGAGGGGGCCUGUGCAGCGCCUCCAGAAGGGACUCGGCCCUCGUCCGUGAGACCCACCUGUCACUCGUGUCCCCUCUGCUUCCAUCAUCAGCCUCAGUGUCUGGAAAACCUUUACAGGCCUGCGGUGUUCUGGGAGCAUAAUUAGGAUGCUGGAGCCACGGCCCAGAGUUGCAAGUUUCACUGUGCAGGAUGGGGCCUGCCCCUGAGCAGUCUAGGCACGGCCACAUCGGGAUCCUUUUCCCCAGAACCAAAGGCACCCACCGCCCUUUAGGAUGUCUAGCCCUCAAGAGGAGGGGCUUUCUGACACAUGAGGUCAUCACAACGGACCCUGCUUCACUUUCAGUUAUUAGACUAUAUUAAGAAAAAGAAAAGAGACUUCCCUGACAGUCCAGUGAUUAAGACUCCGAGCUUCCACUGCAGGGGCACAGGUUCGAUCCCUGGUUGGGGAACGAAGAUCUCGCAUGCCCCGCAACGUGUCAAUCAAUCAAUCAGUUUUAGAUUUACUGAAAAGUUAAGAGUAGGGAGUGCCCUUAUUACAGCCUCCCACAUACACACAUAGACGGGCACACACCCCAUUUCCUUUAUUGGUAACAUCUUGCAUUAGUUGUACAUUUGCUACAAUUGAUGAGAUGAUAUUGAUACAUUAUUAUUAACUAGAGUCCAUAGUUUGUUCAGAGUUUCUUAGUUUUUCCCCAGUGUGUUUCUUCUGUGUCAGGAUCCCAUCAAGGAUACUGUGUCACAUGUAAUUGUCCACCUCACUUCUCAUUCUGAAGGUGCAGUAUUGAGAGAGGUUAAAGAAGCACGUAAUUGCUUAACUUGUUCUUGGCUUUAAGUCUGAGAAAAUGCUAGGGAAGAGGCUGCUGCUGGGGGCUGCGUUUUGGUGUUGUGUCUGGCGGGUGCCAGCCAAGUGGGGCACUGGGUCCUGGGGGAGGGCGGGGCCCUGAGGAGGGGCUUCCCUCCAGAGCGACCCUUCUCAGAGCGGCCCCUCGGGUUGGGGUGAUGGGAAGUUAUGUUUAGAGGAUUGAAAAUUUCUGUUUGGGGUGAUGAAAACGUUCUAGACAUGGAUAGUGGUGACGGUUACACAAAUUUGCUUAAUACCACUGAUUGUACACUU